UACGGGGGGGGCAAGCGUUGUUCGGAAUCACUGGGCGUAAAGGGUGCGUAGGCCGCACGGUAAGUCAGAGGUGAAAUCCCGGAGCUCAACUUCGGAAUUGCCUCCGAUACUGCCGUGCUUGAGGACUGGAGAGGAGAUUGGAAUUCACAGUGGAGCAGUGAAAUGCGUAGAUAUUGUGAGGAACACUAGUGGCGAAGGCGAAUCUCUGGACAGUUCCUGACGCUGAGGCACGAAGGCCAGGGGAGCAAACGGG
rnacentral:rRNA from 1 species